AUAUAGUUAUAAGCAAUUCUCUGUGUUGUGUUGAUCUCUAUACCCUCUUAAUUGGUAUCAGAGCUGACACCUACUAAAAGAAGUGGUAUAUGUUCAACAGGUGAGAUCUUGCGACAUGGUUAUGGAGAAAUCCCAACAGUAUGUUACGAUACAACAGCCAUUGAAGCUGGAUGCUGAGCAUUAUGGUUACUGGACGAUGUCUAUCCGGCAGGCUAUCCAAAGC
rnacentral:sRNA from 1 species